GCCCUGGGGCUGGCCGCUUACGAGCCCCUCUCCGCUCUGAAGGGAGAGGGGCUUGAGGAAGCUCCGCCCUCCACGCGGCACCGGGGCCCCGUAAGGGGGCGCGGGUAACACCCGCGGCAACGGCACAGAAACGGCACGCCCCUCGGGGGGUGUCAAUGAGGCGGUGAGGGCUGCUGGGUGACCGGCAGCCAGUAACCCGCCGAGUAUCCUGGGGGGUGCGUUGAAACGGCCGUCCCCCGGGGAGCAAGGGCGGUGGCCGAUGAGGGCCGCGUGAAUGGCUGCCGCAGACCGCUUAGUCGGAUGCGGCCGCUGUACAGAAGGCGGGUUAUAGCCCCGGGGC
rnacentral:RNase_P_RNA from 1 species